AUCAAUGUUGACCAUGAUUUUAUUUGCACUUUGUCCUGAAUUCUGCUAUUGAAAACAACAAUUUCAAUGCCCCAUUACAAUAAGAAAGUUUAUUUCAAUGCUGAACUUGUCUACGAGUCCCAUCCCUCACUAUAAGCCUCCACAGCCCAUUCACACUGGUAUGUAGACAUACAAAUAUUGUUUCUUUAUUAAUUACAAAUACAUUUUCAUACUUUUUUGAUUGCCAUAUGAAUUAAAAAAUUUAAUUCAAGUCCUACUGGAAUGCAACUUUUGUGUUUAAAUUCACAACAUAAGGGAGAUAAUUAUUUCAUGAAAAUAGUUCAAAGAAAAACAAAACAUUUUUGAAUGAAUUUGCUGCGGCAAACUCGAUACUUAAACAGUAGAUUGCAAAUAGAUAUUAAAAGGUAAAUACCUAAGAAAUACAACAUAGAUUCAUAUGUACAACAAUCAUUUGCACAUUCAGAACCUCUCUCAGCAGCACUAUAUUAACUCUUUCUCUCCUCAUUGACAAUACCAUCAUUGAUUUGACCUUAUAAAUCUACACUAAUGUUUAGUUGUAUAAACUGUUCUACAAUAAGGGCAUGCAUUCCCCUUUAAUUCCAGACCAAAUAAAACAUUUUCUGAUCACAAAAAAAAAAAAAGUUAUUGAAGC